AUUGAACGCUAGCGGCAUGCUUAACACAUGCAAGUCGAACGAGUGGCGGACGGGUGAGUAAUAUAUCGGAACGUGCCCAGUAGCGGGGGAUAACUACUAGAAAGAGUUGCGAAUAACGCAUAAUAUCAGAUCGGCCGUCAUCGGAUUAGCUAGUUGGUGGGGUAAAGGCUCACCAAGGCAACGAUCCGUAGCUGGGUCGGGAGCACGACCAGCCAAACUGUGACUGAGACACGGCCCAUACUCCUACGGGAGGCAGCAGUGGGGAAUUUUUGACAAUGGGGGAAAGCCUGAUCCAGCCAUCCCGCGUGUAUGAGAAGGCCUUCGGGUUGUAAAGUACUUUUAGUGGAGAAGCGUUAUCUAAAGAAUAAGCACCGGCUAACUUCGUGCCAGCAGCCGCGGUAAUUC
rnacentral:rRNA from 1 species